rnacentral:rRNA from 1 species
UACGUAGGGUGCGAGCGUUAAUCGGAAUUACUGGGCGUAAAGCGUGCGCAGGCGGUGAGCUGUGUCCGAUGUGAAAGCCCCGGGCUUAACCUGGGAAUGGCAUUGGAAACUGGCUCGCUGGAGUGUGGCAGAGGGGGGUGGAAUUCCGCGUGUAGCAGUGAAAUGCGUAGAUAUGUGGAGGAAUACCGAUGGCGAAGGCAGCCCCCUGGGAUAACACUGACGCUCAUGCACGAAAGCGUGGGGAGCGAACAGG